AAAGCCCGCAGUGGGAGCAGUCUGGUGGUAUUAUGGGGACAAUCCCUUGGCACUGGUUUUAUUGGAAGUUCCCAGGUUUUGAGUACUUUUUCCUGGACACAAUGGCAGAAAACAAUACAAUCUUCCCUAAUAAUGAAAACUUGAAGAGGAUGAGGAGUCCUCUUCUGAUACUUCAUGCAGAGGAUGACCACAUAGUGCACAUCCACAUAGCUCAGCAG